rnacentral:rRNA from 1 species
GAUGAACGCUGGCGGCGUGCUUAACACAUGCAAGUCGAACGAUGAAGCUCAGCUUGCUGGGUGGAUUAGUGGCGAACGGGUGAGUAACCCGUGAGUAACCUGCCCCUAACUCUGGGUUAAGCCUGGGAAACUGGGUCUAAUACCGAUUAUGAGCGUUCACCGCAUGGUGGGUGUUGGAAAGAUUUAUCGUUUUUGGAUGGACUCGCGGCCUAUCAGCUUCUUGGUGAGGUAAUGGCUCACCAAGGCAACGACGGGUAGCCUGCCUGAGAGGGUGACCGGCCACGCUGGGACUGAGACACGGCACAGACUCCAACGGGAGGCAGCAGAGGGGAAUAUUGCACAAUGGGCGGAAGCCUGAUGCAGUGACGCCGCGUGAGGGAUGACGGCCUUCAGGUUGUAAACCUCUUUCAGUAGGGAAGAAGCGAAAGUGACGGUACCUGCAGAAGAAGCACCGGCUAACUACGUG